UCCAGACUCCUACGGGAGGCAGCAGUGAGGAAUAUUGGUCAAUGGCCGAGAGGCUGAACCAGCCAAGUCGCGUGAGGGAAGACGGCCCUACGGGUUGUAAACCUCUUUUGUCAGGGAGCAAAGGGCGCCACGUGUGGCGUUUUGCGAGUACCUGAAGAAAAAGCAUCGGCUAACUCCGUGCCGGCAGCCGCGGUAAUACGGAGGAUGCGAGCGUUAUCCGGAUUUAUUGGGUUUAAAGGGAGCGUAGAUGGGUUGUUAAGUCAGUUGUGAAAGUUUGCGGCUCAACCGUAAAAUUGCAAUUGAUACUGGCAGUCUUGAGUACAGUUGAGGUAGGCGGAAUUCGUGGUGUAGCGGUGAAAUGCUUAGAUAUCACGAAGAACCCCGAUUGCGAAGGCAGCUUACUAAACUGUGACUGACAUAGAUGCUCGAAAGUGUGGGUAUCAAACAGGAUUAGAUACCCCGGUA
rnacentral:rRNA from 1 species